rnacentral:snoRNA from 1 species
AACCCAUGAUUUGGGCAUUUUCUCAAUAUCAUCUUAAAUUUUUCCCAUGUCUCAGAAAAAGACUCUUCUGCUCCUUGUCUAAACAUAGAGAUUUCAGACUUAGUUU